UACGUAGGGCGCAAGCGUUGUCCGGAAUUAUUGGGCGUAAAGAGCGUGUAGGCGGUUGGGUAGGUCCGUUGUGAAAACUCGAGGCUCAACCUCGAGACGCCGAUGGAAACCCCCCAGCUAGAGUCCGGAAGAGGAGAGUGGAAUUCCUGGUGUAGCGGUGAAAUGCGCAGAUAUCAGGAGGAACACCGGUGGCGAAGGCGGCACUCUGGGCCGAUACUGACACUGAGGAGCGAAAGCGUGGGGAGCGAACAGG
rnacentral:rRNA from 1 species